rnacentral:rRNA from 1 species
GAGUUUGAUCCUGGCUCAGAUUGAACGCUGGCGGCAGGCCUAACACAUGCAAGUCGAGCGGAUGACGGGAGCUUGCUCCUUGAUUCAGCGGCGGACGGGUGAGUAAUGCCUGGGAAUCUGCCUGGUAGUGGGGGACAACGUUUCGAAAGGAACGCUAAUACCGCAUACGUCCUACGGGAGAAAGCAGGGGACCUUCGGGCCUUGCGCUAUCAGAUGAUCCUAGGUCGGAUUAGCUAGUUGGUGGGGUAAUGGCUCACCAAGGCGACGAUCCGUAACUGGUCUGAGAGGAUGAUCAGUCACACUGGAACUGAGACACGGUCCAGACUCCUACGGGAGGCAGCAGUGGGGAAUUUUGGACAAUGGGGGCAACCCUGAUCCAGCCAUGCCGCGUGAGUGAAGAAGGCC